AGCUACAGGCUUAACACAUGCAAGUCGAGGGGCAGCAUUUCAGUUUGCUUGCAAACUGGAGAUGGCGACCGGCGCACGGGUGAGUAACACGUAUCCAACCUGCCGAUAACUCGGGGAUAGCCUUUCGAAAGAAAGAUUAAUACCCGAUGGUAUAAUCAGACCGCAUGGUCUUGUUAUUAAAGAAUUUCGGUUAUCGAUGGGGAUGCGUUCCAUUAGGCAGUUGGUGAGGUAACGGCUCACCAAACCUUCGAUGGAUAGGGGUUCUGAGAGGAAGGUCCCCCACAUUGGAACUGAGACACGGUCCAAACUCCUACGGGAGGCAGCAGUGAGGAAUAUUGGUCAAUGGGCGCAGGCCUGAACCAGCCAAGUAGCGUGAAGGAUGACUGCCCUAUGGGUUGUAAACUUCUUUUAUAUGGGAAUAAAGUUUUCCACGUGUGGAAUUUUGUAUGUACCAUAUGAAUAAGGAUCGGCUAACUCCGUGCCAGCAGCCGCGGUAAUACGGAGGAUCCGAGCGUUAUCCGGAUUUAUUGGGUUUAAAGGGAGCGUAGGUGGACAGUUAAGUCAGUUGUGAAAGUUUGCGGCUCAACCGUAAAAUUGCAGUUGAUACUGGCUGUCUUGAGUACAGUAGAGGUGGGCGGAAUUCGUGGUGUAGCGGUGAAAUGCUUAGAUAUCACGAAGAACUCCGAUUGCGAAGGCAGCUCACUGGACUGCAACUGACACUGAUGCUCGAAAGUGUGGGUAUCAAACAGGAUUAGAUACCCUGGUAGUCCACACAGUAAACGAUGAAUACUCGCUGUUUGCGAUAUACAGUAAGCGGCCAAGCGAAAGCAUUAAGUAUUCCACCUGGGGAGUACGCCGGCAACGGUGAAACUCAAAGGAAUUGACGGGGGCCCGCACAAGCGGAGGAACAUGUGGUUUAAUUCGAUGAUACGCGAGGAACCUUACCCGGGCUUAAAUUGCAUUUGAAUAUAUUGGAAACAGUAUAGCCGUAAGGCAAAUGUGAAGGUGCUGCAUGGUUGUCGUCAGCUCGUGCCGUGAGGUGUCGGCUUAAGUGCCAUAACGAGCGCAACCCUUAUCUUUAGUUACUAACAGGUCAUGCUGAGGACUCUAGAGAGACUGCCGCCGUAAGAUGUGAGGAAGGUGGGGAUGACGUCAAAUCAGCACGGCCCUUACGUCCGGGGCUACACACGUGUUACAAUGGGGGGUACAGAAGGCAGCUACCUGGUGACAGGAUGCUAAUCCCAAAAGCCUCUCUCAGUUCGGAUCGAAGUCUGCAACCCGACUUCGUGAAGCUGGAUUCGCUAGUAAUCGCGCAUCAGCCAUGGCGCGGUGAAUACGUUCCCGGGCCUUGUACACACCGCCCGUCAAGCCAUGAAAGCCGGGGGUACCUGAAGUACGUAACCGCAAGGAGCGCCCUAGGGUAAAACUGGUAAUUGGGGCUAAGUCAUAAC
rnacentral:rRNA from 1 species